rnacentral:rRNA from 1 species
GAUGAACGCUGGCGGCGUGCCUAAUACAUGCAAGUCGAGCGAACAGACGAGGAGCUUGCUCCUCUGGCGUUAGCGGCGGACGGGUGAGUAACACGUGGAUAACCUACCUAUAAGACUGGGAUAACUUCGGGAAACCGGAGCUAAUACCGGAUAAUAUAUUGAACCGCAUGGUUCAAUAGUGAAAGACGGUUUUGCUGUCACUUAUAGAUGGAUCCGCGCCGCAUUAGCUAGUUGGUAAGGUAACGGCUUACCAAGGCAACGAUGCGUAGCCGACCUGAGAGGGUGAUCGGCCACACUGGAACUGAGACACGGUCCAGACUCCUACGGGAGGCAGCAGUAGGGAAUCUUCCGCAAUGGGCGAAAGUCUGACGGAGCAACGCCGCGUGAGUGAUGAAGGUCUUCGGAUCGUAAAACUCUGUUAUUAGGGAAGAACAAAUGUGUAAGUAACUAUGCACGUCUUGACGGUACCUAAUCAGAAAGCCACGGCUAACUACGUG